AGAGUUUGAUCCUGGCUCAGGACGAACGCUGGCGGCGUGCCUAAUACAUGCAAGUCGAGCGGACAGAUGGGAGCUUGCUCCCUGAUGUUAGCGGCGGACGGGUGAGUAACACGUGGGUAACCUGCCUGUAAGACUGGGAUAACUCCGGGAAACCGGGGCUAAUACCGGAUGGUUGUUUGAACCGCAUGGUUCAAACAUAAAAGGUGGCUUCGGCUACCACUUACAGAUGGACCCGCGGCGCAUUAGCUAGUUGGUGAGGUAAUGGCUCACCAAGGCAACGAUGCGUAGCCGACCUGAGAGGGUGAUCGGCCACACUGGGACUGAGACACGGCCCAGACUCCUACGGGAGGCAGCAGUAGGGAAUCUUCCGCAAUGGACGAAAGUCUGACGGAGCAACGCCGCGUGAGUGAUGAAGGUUUUCGGAUCGUAAAGCUCUGUUGUUAGGGAAGAACAAGUACCGUUCGAAUAGGGCGGUACCUUGACGGUACCUAACCAGAAAGCCACGGCUAACUACGUGCCAGCAGCCGCGGUAAUACGUAGGUGGCAAGCGUUGUCCGGAAUUAUUGGGCGUAAAGGGCUCGCAGGCGGUUUCUUAAGUCUGAUGUGAAAGCCCCCGGCUCAACCGGGGAGGGUCAUUGGAAACUGGGGAACUUGAGUGCAGAAGAGGAGAGUGGAAUUCCACGUGUAGCGGUGAAAUGCGUAGAGAUGUGGAGGAACACCAGUGGCGAAAGCGACUCUCUGGUCUGUAACUGACGCUGAGGAGCGAAAGCGUGGGGAGCGAACAGGAUUAGAUACCCUGGUAGUCCACGCCGUAAACGAUGAGUGCUAAGUGUUAGGGGGUUUCCGCCCCUUAGUGCUGCAGCUAACGCAUUAAGCACUCCGCCUGGGGAGUACGGUCGCAAGACUGAAACUCAAAGGAAUUGACGGGGGGCCGCA
rnacentral:rRNA from 1 species